AGAGUUUGAUCAUGGCUCAGCCUGAACGCUGGCGGCGUGGCUAAGACAUGCAAGUCGAACGGAUGUAGCAAUACAUCAGUGGCGGACGGGUGAGUAAUGAAUCGCUAAUGUGCCCUAGAGCCAGGGAUAGUCAGUCGAAAGAUUGGGUAAUACCUGAUGAAAUGUUCGGUAGGCAUCUACUGAACCUCAAAGCAGCAAUGCACUCCUGGAGCAGGCGAUUUCGUAUCAGCUAGUUGGUGAGGUAACGGCUCACCAAGGCGACGACGCGUAGCCGGGCUGAGAGGUUGGCCGGCCACAUUGGGACUGAGACACUGCCCAGACUCCUACGGGGGGCUGCAGUAACGAAUCUUCCGCAAUGCACGAAAGUGUGACGGAGCGACGCCGCGUGUAGGACGAAGCCCUUCGGGGUGUAAACUACUGUCAGGGGAAAGAAAGUUCUGAUCUACCCCAGAGGAAGGGACGGCUAACUCUGUGCCAGCAGCCGCGGUAAGACAGAGGUCCCGAGCGUUAGGCGGAAUCACUGGGCUUAAAGCGUGUGUAGGCGGAUGCCUAAGUACCUUGUGAAAUCCCACGGCUCAACCGUGGAACUGCUUGGUAUACUGGGUGUCUUGAGCCACUUAGGGGCGACCGGAACAGACGGUGGAGCGGUGAAAUGCGUAGAUAUCGUCUGGAACGCCAAUGGUGAAAACAGGUCGCUGGGAGUGUGCUGACGCUGAGACACGAAAGCCAGGGGAGCAAACGGGAUUAGAUACCCUAGUAGUCC
rnacentral:rRNA from 1 species